GACGAACGCUGGCGGCGUGCUUAACACAUGCAAGUCGAACGGAAAGGCCUCUUUCGGGGGGUACUCGAGUGGCGAACGGGUGAGUAACACGUGAGUAACCUGCCCUUGACUUUGGGAUAACUUCAGGAAAAUGGGGCUAAUACCGGAUAGGAGCUCCUGCUGCAUGGUGGGGGUUGGAAAGUUUCGGCGGUUGGGGAUGGACUCGCGGCUUAUCAGCUUGUUGGUGGGGUAGUGGCUUACCAAGGCUUUGACGGGUAGCCGGCCUGAGAGGGUGACCGGCCACAUUGGGACUUAGAUACGGCCCAGACUCCUACGGGAGGCAGCUGUGGGGAAUAUUGCACAAUGGGUGGAAGCCUGAUGCAGCAACGCCGUGUGCUGGAUGACGGCCUUCUGGUUGUAAACCGCUUUCGCUCAUGACGAAGCUUUGUGUGACGGUAGUGGGUAAAGAAGCACCGGCUAACUACGUG
rnacentral:rRNA from 1 species